UGCAUGGCUGUCGUCAGCUCGUGUCGUGAGAUGUUGGGGUAAGUCCCGCAACGAGCGCAACCCUUACUGUCAGUUGCCAUCGGUUAGGCCGGGCACUCUGGCGGAACUGCCUGUGACAAGCAGGAGGAAGGCGGGGAUGACGUCAAGUCCUCAUGGCCCUUACACGCGGGGCUACACACGUGCUACAAUGGCAGUGACAAUGGGAUAAUCCCAAAAAGCUGUCUCAGUUCAGAUUGUCCUCUGCAACUCGAGGGCAUGAAGUUGGAAUCGCUAGUAAUCGUGGAUC
rnacentral:rRNA from 16 species